AUUCCCCUAGUAACUGCGAGUGAAGCGGGAAAAGCUCAAAUUUAAAAUCUGAGGGUCCUUGCGGCCUUCCGAGUUGUAAUCUAGAGAAGUGCUAUCCGCGCUGGACCGUGUACAAGUCUCCUGGAACGGAGCGUCAUAGAGGGUGAGAAUCCCGUCUUUGACACGGACUACCAGGGCUUAUGUGAUGCGCUCUCAAAGAGUCGAGUUGUUUGGGAAUGCAGCUCUAAAUGGGUGGUAAAUUCCAUCUAAAGCUAAAUAUUGGCGAGAGACCGAUAGCGAACAAGUACCGUGAGGGAAAGAUGAAAAGAACUUUGGAAAGAGAGUUAAACAGUACGUGAAAUUGUUGAAAGGGAAACGCUUGAAGUCAGUCGCGUUGGCCAGGAAUCAACCUUGCUUUUGCUUGGCGUACUUUCUGGUUAACGGGUCAGCAUCAAUUUUGAUCGGUGGAUAAAGGUCAGGGGAAUGUGGCAUCUUCGGAUGUGUUAUAGCCUCUGGUUGCAUACAUCGGUUGGGAUUGAGGAACUCAGCACGCCGCAAGGCCGGGUUUUUAACCACGUACGUGCUUAGGAUGCUGGCAUAAUGGCUUUAAUCGACCCGUCUUGAAACACGGACCAAGGAGUCUAACAUGCACGCGAGUGUUUGGGUGGAAAACCCGAGCGCGUAAUGAAAGUGAAAAUUGAGAUCCCUGUCGUGGGGAGCAUCGAUGCCUGGACUUGAUCUUUUGUGACGGUUCCACGGUUGAGCGUGUAUGCUGGGACCCGAAAGAUGGUGAACUAUGCCUGAAUAGGGUGAAGCCAGAGGAAACUCUGGUGGAGGCUCGUAGCGAUUCUGACGUGCAAAUCGAUCGUCAAAUUUGGGUAUAGGGGCGAAAGACUAAUCGAACCAUCUAGUAGCUGGUGCCUGCC
rnacentral:rRNA from 1 species